rnacentral:lncRNA from 1 species
UGUGGGUCCCCAUUGCAGUUAUGGGGGGUUGUGCUGUGGGUCCCCAUUGCAGUUAUGGGGGGGUUGUGCUGUGGGUCCCCAUUGCAGUUAUGGGGGGUUGUGCUGUGGGUCCCCAUUGCAGUUAUGGGGGGUCGUGUUGUGGGUCCCCAUUGCAGUUAUGGGGGUUGUGUUGUGGGGUCCCCAUUGCAGCCAUGGGGGGGUUGUGUUUUGGGGUCCCCAUUGCAGUUAUGGGGGGUUGUGUUUUGGGGUCCCCAUUGCAGUUAUGGGGGGUUGUGUUGUGGGGUCCCCAUUGCAGCCAUGGGGGGGUUGUGUUGUGGGGUCCCCAUUGCAGUUAUGGGGGGUCGUGUUGUGGGGUCCCCAUUGCAGUUAUGGGGGGUUGUGCUGUGGGUCCCCAUUGCAGUUAUGGGGCGUUGUGCUGUGGGGUCCCCAUUGCAGCCAUGGGGGGGUCAUGUUUUGGGGUCCCCAUUGCAGUUAUGGGGGUCGUGUUGUGGGGUCCCCAUUGCAGUUAUGGGGGGUCGUGUUGUGGGGUCCCCAUUGCAGCCAUGGGGGGGUCGUGCUGUGGGGUCCCCAUUGCAGUUAUGGGGGGUCGAGUUGUGGGGUCCCCAUUGCAGUUAUGGGGGGGUGGUGCUGUGGGGUCCCCAUUGCAGUUAUGGGGGGUCGUGUUGUGGGGUCCCCAUUGCAGUUAUGGGGGUUGUGUUGUGGGGUCCCCAUUGCAGUUAUGGGGGGUCGUGUUGUGGGGUCCCCAUUGCAGUUAUGGGGGGGUCGUGCUGUGGGUCCCCAUUGCAGUUAUGGGGGGGGUUGUGCUGUGGGUCCCCAUUGCAGUUAUGGGGGUCGUGCUGUGGGUCCCCAUUGCAGUUAUGGGGGGUCGUGUUGUGGGUCCCCAUUGCAGCCAUGGGGGGGUUGUGUUGUGGGGUCCCCAUUGCAGUUAUGGGGGGUUGUGCUGUGGGUCCCCAUUGCAGUUAUGGGGGUUGUGCUGUGGGUCCCCAUUUGCAGUUAUGGGGGGUUGUGUUGUGGGGUCCCAUUGCAGUUGGUCUGGUCCUGCGUUAUGGGGGUUGUGCUGUGGGUCCCAUUGCAU